rnacentral:rRNA from 1 species
CCGUCGGACAUGCCGCGUGGAGGUAGAAGGCCCACGGGUCGUAAACUCCUUUUCUCAGAGAAGAAGCAAUGACGGUAUCUGAGGAAUAAGCAUCGGCUAACUCUGUGCCAGCAGCCGCGGUAAGACAGAGGAUGCAAGCGUUAUCCGGAAUGAUUGGGCGUAAAGCGUCUGUAGGUGGCUUUUUAAGUCUGCCGUCAAAUCCCAGGGCUUAACCCUGGACAGGCGGUGGAAACUACCAAGCUGGAGUACGGUAGGGGCAGAGGGAAUUUCCGGUGGAGCGGUGAAAUGCGUAGAGAUCGGAAAGAACACCAACGGCGAAGGCACUCUGCUGGGCCGACACUGACACUGAGAGACGAAAGCUAGGGGAGCAAAUGGGAUUAGAUACCCCAGUAGUCAAAGGGAUUAGAUACCCCUGUAGUCCAGGGGAAUUUACCUUUGGACUGCUCAUCACACCAAUUAUUUUCGUCGUGUGGGGUGGCUCCCGAGCUUCUAGGGAACCCACAAACUUGGAUUAGAGUUCACAAGUUUCUUCACCUGUUCCUCUUUUGGUAUCAU